UUCAAUUUUCAAAACAUUUCAAAAUCGUCCGCUUCCCUGCUCCUCUCUCACUGGCGAUUCCAGAUCUGGAUCUAGGGUUUUUCUCCAAGGCGAUUCAAGAUCUAGCCUUUCUCCACGCACAUAACCUCUGUUGCCGUUUUUACCUUUAAACAUCCAAUCAGGUGAUGAGGAGUAGUUUCGACGGAAUAUUCCGGCGAGCUUAAGCGGCGGAGAGACGGAAUCGUGCAGCGGCUGUACUCCAAACGGUGUAGUAAUUGUGACGUGGAUCUGAAUGAGCGGAUUCCGAACGGCGUUGGCCGGAAGGUGAAUGAUGACGUCAGAGGAGGUGAGAUUCGCCGUUAACUCUGCAAGAGGAUGAAGAUGAUGAACCAGAUCCGUGUGGAGGUCUGUUUGAUGAUGAGCACUCUAAAGUUCUGAGAAUUAAAGAGCAGCUUGAGGAUUCAAAUCAGACUGAUGAUGCUAUUGUUGAUUUGCUUCAAACCCUAGCUGAUAUGGAUCUGACUUUUACAGUCCUUAAGGAAACUGAUAUAUGAAGGAAUGUUAACCGACUUCGAAAGCAUCCGUCAAAUGAAGUAAGAGGACUGGUGAAGCACUUGGUGAGGAAAUGGAAGGAUUUGGUGGAUGAAUGGGUUGGGUCGAACAAUAGUGCGCUCGCACGCUCUACUUUUACAGAAGGUGAUUCGCCUUUGGUGCAGAAUGUAUCAAGCGGCUUACUCAAAGUUAGAUUAAAUGGUAAAGCGUCAAAUGAGUUGAACUGAUAUGUAACGCAGUUUUUGCUGCCCGAAUAAUGAAUGCCACCCUUGUGCUGCCCGAGCUUGAUACGAAUUCCUAUUGGCAUGAUGACAGUGGUUUCUAAGGUAUAUAUGAUGUUGAUUAUUUUAUCAAGUCAUUGCGGUAUGAUGUUCAUGUUGUCGAAAGCAUCCCUGAAAUUAGGAAACACGGAAGGACAAAGAAGAUAAAAUCUUUUCAGCUUCGUCCACCUAGAGAUGCGCCUAUUAGUUGGUAUACAAUGGUUGCUUUGGAGAAAAUGAAGGAACAUGGUGCUAUUUAUCUCACACCAUUUUCUCAUCGAUUAGCGGAAGGGAACGAUAAUUCGGAAUAUCAACGGUUAAGAUGUAGAGUCAACUAUCAUGCCCUUAGAUUUAAGCCGCAUAUCGUGCUGUUAAGUCAGUCAAUAGUUGCUAACCUUCGCUCACAAGGUCACUUCAUGUCAAUACAUCUUCGGUUUGAAAAGGAUAUGUUGUCAUUUGCGGGGUGUUUUGAUAUACUUACCCCACAUGAACAAAAGAUAUUGAUGAAAUACCGAAAGGAAAACUUUGCUGACAAGAAACUUGUUUAUAGUGAAAGAAGGGCUAUUGGAAAAUGUCCUUUAACUCCAGAUGAAGUGUUUUCUAGCAAGGACAAGGAUAGUAAUAACGGGAGUUCGGAUACUUCGGAUAGCCGUUCGACGAAUGCUGAGGAGACAAAGUCGGGCAUGCCGACAUUGAGGAGCCAGAGGCAUUCUGUGUCAUAGAUCAUGUCUUGUGUAAAUUGGUUGUGUUUUAGGAUGUUUUGUAAGGGAGAAAGGGAGUUUUGAGGGGUUCGUAUGUUUGGAGAAUUUAAUGUACCAGUCAACAACUGAUUUUUUUUUAUUUUUUUUACUAUAAAGUGGUCCAAUUCUUAAGUUUUCAAUAAUAAUAAAAAUGUUAAAAUGGAGUGUAA